UGUGUUGCUACAGACGCUGUUGUUGUGCUGUGUGAGGGUGCUACAGCUUGCCAGGCGUCGUUGGAGACUGUUGCCAUCGCCCCGCUCGUUCUCUCAACAUCCUUAUCGCCUCCCGCUCACAACGAUGCGACUCUUCCAGCUUGCGAUCCUCUUGCUGGCGACGUUUGGAGCGGCUUCACCGGUGGAGUUGCGGAAACGAGCGAGCCAGCCGACGGGGUUGUCGAGCGGCAGUGCGUUGCGCCAAGGACAGGUCGACGGCAUCGGGAAGUUGUUGAACCAGUCGGCGACCAAGAGGUGCGUAACGUAAGAUUGCGACGCAUGUUGUUGAGCUAAGAAGCGUGCGCGCCCAGCUGGGAAAUCGGCACCCACCUCGAAGCCGUCCUCGAGCUGAACUACCCCUCGCUCUCGCCCUUCUCGACCUCUUCCUCCUCUUUCGCCUCGCCCACGCCGUCCGUCUCUCCCUUUCCGACCGAAAUCAUCUCCCUCGUCGCGCCCGUCCUCUCCUCCCAACCGAGCGGCCAACUCCAACUCAUCCAAGACGGUUCCUCCGCCGACCCUGCGUCCGUCGGGCCUUUCGUCAUCCUCGCGAACUUGACGCUUAACAAGGGAGGAAACGUCGGAGGCAAGAACCAGCAGCAGCUUGAGGAGGUCGCGGCGGGCCAGUUGAAGGCGCUUUUGGAGCAGACGCCGAGGAGUAGCGAUGGGGCUAUCAGUCACAGGACGGGGGAUGCCGAGCUGUGGUCUGACUUUGUCUGUGAGUGGCGUGGACGUGUC
rnacentral:misc_RNA from 1 species